rnacentral:lncRNA from 1 species
CUUCUCUUUUUCAGCCUUCCAAGAGUUAAAGCAAUGUGCUUUCAAGUGUCCCUAGCUGCAGGCUCACCCUCUCCCACUCCUGGUCCCUGUCCUAUAUUCUGGAGCCAUCACUGGUGAUGAAAACUCGAAGACUCGAAAGGGAAAAAGGAAGGGCGAUAUUAUUCACAUUUGGAAAAUGUCUGAAGCUUUCAUCUCAGUAAGGUGAACGAGCCUGAUGGGAACACUUUGCACCUGCUGGGAAGGGCUCUUAGGUUUCCAUGGUGUGACCCUUUGGCAGCAGGUCUCCAGCAAUUGUCUCAUUCAGAAGUCCUGGUGACUGCCAGCUGGAAAUGCUCUCUCACAGUCCCUUGCACAAUGGCCUGGGGAGUCACCCAGGUUCUCUUUUUAGGAGGUCUGACUGGUGAAAGCUACUCCUGUGCUUACAGAAGGAGGGCCCAUGCUUAGGCAUCUCCCAGGAAAACCAUGCAGUGAAAUGAGGAUGUAAAGAGACUCUGGUUCUUGGAAAAUUGUAACAUGGAAAUAACCAUUUUUUGAGGGGUUCCACUGAAGCAGCGAAACCACAUACAACUAUUCCAAUAACCACUAAGGAGAUAACUGCUUUGGGAAUAACAGAAAAAAAAAAAUAAACAGGGAAAGAGGGAAGCA